GGGGGAUAUUGCACAAUGGGGGAAACCCUGAUGCAGCGACGCCGCGUGGAGGAAGAAGGUUUUCGGAUUGUAAACUCCUGUCGUUAGGGACGAUAAUGACGGUACCUAACAAGAAAGCACCGGCUAACUACGUGCCAGCAGCCGCGGUAAAACGUAGGGUGCAAGCGUUGUCCGGAAUUACUGGGUGUAAAGGGAGCGCAGGCGGACCGGCAAGUUGGAAGUGAAAACUAUGGGCUCAACCCAUAAAUUGCUUUCAAAACUGCUGGCCUUGAGUAGUGCAGAGGUAGGUGGAAUUCCCGGUGUAGCGGUGGAAUGCGUAGAUAUCGGGAGGAACACCAGUGGCGAAGGCGACCUACUGGGCACCAACUGACGCUGAGGCUCGAAAGCAUGGGUAGCAAACAGGAUUAGAUACCCUGGUAGUCCAUGCCGUAAACGAUGAUUACUAGGUGUUGGAGGAUUGACCCCUUCAGUGCCGCAGUUAACACAAUAAGUAAUCCACCUGGGGAGUACGACCGCAAGGUUGAAACUCAAAGGAAUUGACGGGGGCCCGCACAAGCAGUGGAGUAUGUGGUUUAAUUCGAAGCAACGCGAAGAACCUUACCAGGUCUUGACAUCCGAUGCAUAGUGCAGAGAUGCAUGAAGUCCUUCGGGACAUCGAGACAGGUGGUGCAUGGUUGUCGUCAGCUCGUGUCGUGAGAUGUUGGGUUAAGUCCCGCAACGAGCGCAACCCUUAUUGCCAGUUACUACGAAAGAGGACUCUGGCGAGACUGCCGUUGACAAAACGGAGGAAGGUGGGGAUGACGUCAAAUCAUCAUGCCCUUUAUGACCUGGGCUACACACGUGCUACAAUGGCGUAAACAAAGGGAAGCGAGCCUGCGAGGGGGAGCAAAUCUCAAAAAUAACGUCUCAGUUCGGACUGCAGUCUGCAACUCGACUGCACGAAGCUGGAAUCGCUAGUAAUCGCGAAUCAGAAUGUCGCGGUGAAUACGUUCCCG
rnacentral:rRNA from 1 species